GAUGAAGAACGCAGCGAAAUGCGAUAAGUAAUGUGAAUUGCAGAAUUCAGUGAAUCAUCGAACUUUGAACGCACAUUGCGCCCGCCAGUAUUCUGGCGGGCAUGCCUGUUCGAGCGUCAUUACAACCCUCAGGCCCCCGGGCCUGGCGUUGGGGAUCGGCGGAAGCCCCCUGCGGGCACAACGCCGUCCCCCAAAUACAGUGGCGGUCCCGCCGCAGCUUCCAUUGCGUAGUAGCUAACACCUCGCAACUGGAGAGCGGCGCGGCCACGCCGUAAAACACCCAACUUCUGAAUGUUGACCUCGAAUCAGGUAGGAAUACCCGCUGAACUUAAGCAUAUCAAUAAGCGGAGGA
rnacentral:misc_RNA from 1 species